rnacentral:rRNA from 1 species
UUAGAGUUUGAUCCUGGCUCAGACUGAACGCUGGCGGCAUGCCUAACACAUGCAAGUCGAACGGCAGCACAGGUAGCAAUACCGGGUGGCGAGUGGCGGACGGGUGAGUAAUGCAUCGGGAUCUACCCUGACGUGGGGGAUAACCUCGGGAAACCGGGACUAAUACCGCAUACGUCCUACGGGAGAAAGCGGGGGACCUUCGGGCCUCGCGCGGCAGGACGAACCGAUGUGCGAUUAGCUAGUUGGCGGGGUAAUGGCCCACCAAGGCGACGAUCGCUAGCUGGUCUGAGAGGAUGAUCAGCCACACUGGGACUGAGACACGGCCCAGACUCCUACGGGAGGCAGCAGUGGGGAAUAUUGGACAAUGGGCGCAAGCCUGAUCCAGCAAUGCCGCGUGUGUGAAGAAGGCCUUCGGGUUGUAAAGCACUUUUAUCAGGAGCGAAAUACUACCGGCCAAUACCCGGUGGGGCUGACGGUACCUGAGGAAUAAGCACCGGCUAACUUCGUGCCAGCAGCCGCGGUAAUACGAAGGGUGCAAGCGUUAAUCGGAAUUACUGGGCGUAAAGGGUGCGUAGGCGGUUCGUUAAGUCUGUUGUGAAAUCCCCGGGCUCAACCUGGGAAUGGCAAUGGAUACUGGCGGGCUAGAGUGUGUCAGAGAAUGGUGGAAUUCCCGGUGUAGCGGUGAAAUGCGUAGAGAUCGGGAGGAACAUCAGUGGCGAAGGCGGCCAUCUGGGACAACACUGACGCUGAAGCACGAAAGCGUGGGGAGCAAACAGGAUUAGAUACCCUGUAGUCCACGCCCUAAACGAUGCGAACUGGAUGUUGGUCUCAACUCGGAGAUCAGUGUCGAAGCAAACGCGUUAAGUUCGCCGCCUGGGAGUACGGUCGCAAGACUGAACUCAAAGGAUUGACGGGGGCCCGCACAGCGGUGAGUAUGUGGUUUAAUUCGAUGCACGCCGAAGACCUUACUUG